rnacentral:rRNA from 1 species
CUCUUUUGAGACGAAGUGGUUGAUACCAUGCUUCCAAGAAAAGUCCCUAAGCUUCAGGCAAAAGGAAUCCGUACCCCAAACCGACACAGGUGGGCGAGGAGAGUAUCCUAAGGCGUUUGAGAGAACUCGGGAGAAGGAACUCGGCAAAUUUGAACCGUAACUUCGGGAUAAGGUUCGCCUACGCAAGUAGGCCGCAGUGAAGAGGGGGUUGC